rnacentral:tRNA from 1 species
GGGCGAGUGGCGAAAUUGGCAGACGCGCUACGUUCAGGUCGUAGUGAGAGCAAUCUCAUGGAGGUUCAAAUCCUCUCUCGCCCA